rnacentral:misc_RNA from 1 species
ACAAAUCAUCAUAGUGCUUCGGCGCUAUAUACACCCCAAGCCUGGGAAGAGCAGCGAUGCUUGGAACGGCUUUGGUUGCGGUCCGCGAGGGCCGCCGGCUAGGGCGCUGCAAGGCAACCUGGCCACAUAGACGCUUGCUUGGUUUGACAGAGUUUAGUUGCAUCAUAACGAAUA